GUCCUUGUGCUAGGGUUAGAGCUUCUGACAGUGAGGAGAAAUCCGAGUCGAAGCAAUUGCUGAUUGCAAAAAAUAUCCUACACGUAAUGAUCAUCGCAAGAUGUUCAUUCAAUUUCUGGCAAUUGUACUACUGUAC
rnacentral:snRNA from 1 species